AGAAUCAACGCUGGCGGCGUGCCUAACACAUGCAAGUCGCACGAGAAAGGGUAGCAAUACCUGAGUACAGUGGCGCACGGGUGAGUAACACGUGAAUAAUCUACCUCCGAGUGGGAAUAACUGAGAGAAAUCUUAGCUAAUACCGCAUAACACUUACGAGUCAAAGCAGCAAUGCGCUUGGAGAGGAGUUCGCGGCAGAUUAGUUAGUUGGCGGGGUAAUGGCCCACCAAGACGAUGAUCUGUA
rnacentral:rRNA from 1 species